AGGAAGGUCGAGAAGGAGUUUUGGAAAACGUUUUCUCUUUUCUUGAUAAGGAAAAUAUUUCUCCAGUUUGAGAAAAAUGAGUUAAUAAGGAAAAUAUUUUCCAAAACAUUUAAACCAACCAAACAUGAAAAAAUUGAAAAAUAUUCUCCUUCGUACCAAACACACCCUAUAUAUCAACAUUUUAAAUUUGAAUAUGACAUAUAAAAGCAGUCAUUAAUACGAAAAAGAGGACAUUGGCAUAAAAGGAAGUAAAGAUUCAGCAAAGGAAACAUGUAGGAAAUACUAGUAUGUACACAUUAAGAGGGAGAUAUGAAUAUUUAGAUUAAGUAAGAAAAUAGCACAUUAAAUUGGAGGAUUUGCACAAUAGGAAUAAUAUUCUUGAUAAUACACACAAAACCCUCCCAUUUUCAUUUUAAAAUAUGAUAUUAAAGUGGAAAAUUUACAAAAUAGCACAUUUAAAAAAAUUAUUUCAAAAAAUUUCCCCCUUCUUUCCUUCUUCUUUCAAUUCAUAUCCGUUACUUACUUAAUAUUAACUUUGAUCAAAAUCCAAUUUCAUGCCAACAAAUUCCAUAAAAUAAGCUACUUUCUUUUUUAUGGUUCACACUUACCAUUUGGAAAUCUCAUCAUUUCUCUAUAGAUAGACUAAAUAAGGGGAGUAUUAAUAAUAUGCCUAAAAGCUAAAGAAAAAUUAAAAUAUGUUAUGUAUUUUUAUCUAAAUUAUUGCAAAAUACAAAAUAGACAUUUAAUACAUUUCCG
rnacentral:lncRNA from 1 species